UACGUAGGGUGCGAGCGUUAAUCGGAAUUACUGGGCGUAAAGCGUGCGCAGGCGGUUCGUUGUGUCGGCGGUGAAAGCCCCGGGCUUAACCUGGGAACGGCCGUUGAAACUGGCGAACUGGAGUGUGGCAGAGGGGGGUGGAAUUCCGCGUGUAGCAGUGAAAUGCGUAGAGAUGCGGAGGAACACCGAUGGCGAAGGCAGCCCCCUGGGCCAACACUGACGCUCAGGCACGAAAGCGUGGGGAGCAAACAGG
rnacentral:rRNA from 1 species